UACAGAGGUCUCAACCGUUGUUCGGAUUCCUUGGGCGUAAAGGGUGCGUAGGCGGUCGCGUAAGUCAGGUGUGAAAUCUCAGGGCUCAACCCUGAAACUGCACUUGAUACUGCGUGGCUCGGGUACUGGAGAGGAGACUGGAAUUUACGGUGUAGCAGUGAAAUGCGUAGAUAUCGUAAGGAAGACCAGUGGCGAAGGCGAGUCUCUGGACAGUUACCGACGCUGAGGCACGAAGGUCAGGGGAGCAAACGGG
rnacentral:rRNA from 1 species